GGGAGUUGGUUGCGCCUCGUCUACAAGCAACCAUGACAACCAGGUGGGAGUUGGUACGCCUCGUCUACAAGCAACUAUGACAACCAGGUGGGAGUUGUUAUGCCUCGUCUACAAGCAACCAUGACAACCAGGUGGGAGUUGGUACGCCUCGUCUACAAGCAACCAUGACAACCAGGUGGGAGUUGGUACGCCGUCUACAAGCAACCAUGACAACCAGGUGGGAGUUGGUACGCCUCAUCUACAAGCAACCAUGACAACCAGGUGGGAGUUGGUACGCCUCGUCUACAAGCAACCAUGACAACCAGGUGGGAGUUGGUACGCCUCGUCUACAAGCAACUAUGACAACCAGGUGGGAGUUGUUAUGCCUCGUCUACAAGCAACCAUGACAACCAGGUGGGAGUUGUUACGCCUCGUCUACAAGCAACCAUGACAACCAGGUGGGAGUUGUUACGCCUCGUCUACAAGCAACCAUGACAACCAGGUGGGAGUUGGUACGCCGUCUACAAGCAACCAUGACAACCAGGUGGGAGUUGGUACGCCUCAUCUACAAGCAACCAUGACAACCAGGUGGGAGUUGGUACGCCGUCUACAAGCAACCAUGACAACCAGUUGGGAGUUGGUUACGCCUGGUCUACAAGCAACCAUGACAAGCAGGUGGGAGUUGGUUACGCC